CCUGUUAGCCAUGAUUGGCUGAGAUAAUGGAUGGGCUGGAGUUUGGAUUGGUCUGCUAUGUACAGUAGCAUAUUUCUGUCUAUAACGUGAGCUUUUCAGUAUCUGUUGACAGUCCUUUUUACUGCAUCAUUUUUGACAGAUAUAACGUUAGCCAUCGAAAAGUACGAAGGUUUUGCCACUUUUCUCAACAACAUUGAUGCCCUGAAUUUCACAGGCACUAUCGACAGAUCAGUUGGAAAAAGGGAUGGGUUACUUUCUGCACACGCCACGGUCGGUGUGAACCGGAGUGACUUGACACAAUGCUGGCCAAACAAGAUGUAGCUACAAACAAAACAGAGUUAAAAGGUAAAAGGUUUCAGUCUGCCGUGAAGCAUUCAUCCAUAUGUACGGGUGUAUGGAGCUACCAUCCAGUUCUAUGAGCCAUACCCAGAGGAGUGGCUGAGCACGUAUGAGUCUGUUUGUUUGUGUUUGGUGGAUGGGUAGAGUGGUGGAGAUUGCAUAAUGGUCAGACAGAAUGAAAAUGAGAGAACAGCCUCAGUUGGGGCAUGGACUACAUAGGUGUUAAAGGUGUUCCACAAGGAUGCUGGCCCAUGUUGACUCCAAUGCUUCUCACUAUGUCAAGUUGGCUGGAUGUCCUUUGGGUGGUGAACCAUUCGGGAAACCCAGCAGCGUUGCAGUUCUUGAAACACUCAAACCAGUGUGGCUGGCACCUACUACCAUACCGCGUUCAAAGUCCCUUAAAUAUCUAGUCUUGCCCAUUCACUCUCUGAAUGCCACACAUACACAAUCAAUGGCUUAAAUGUUUCAAGGCUUAAAAAUAAUUAUUUAGCUAAGCUGCUAACGUUAGCCAUCAAGCUAACGGAGUUAGUCCCAGAUGAGAUUUCCAAUGCAGCCCUCUUUGUCUGUAGAGGUAAAUGAACAGUUCCAGCGGUGUAGAAGCUGUAUCCACUACGCUUUGUUUCGGGACAAACUAGAUCACACAGAGUUCAAAUGCGGCAAUUGUUUGCUUGCCGAGGAUUAUAGGCUUGAGGUGGCUUCCUUGAUGACGCAGGUAGUCAGUCUACGUAAGAAACUGGGUAAAACAAAGGUUAAAUAAAAUAAAUAAAGGUUCAAUAAAAAAUUAAAUAAAAAGCAGAGUGGAAUGUUUACCUUUUCUACGCCAGUGGCUGGACGGCGUUCGCGCAUGUUUGAUGCUUCUCUGUCUUGUCAUUUGUCAUUAUUCGACUGGCCGUUGUUGCCCGGAGUUCAUUCGCCAGGGGAGCUAUCUCUUGCCUCUCCUCCCCCAUCUGAUAGCGGAGUCGAAGGAGCACAGCAAGAGGAUCAUGGCAAUCAACGAUGGUCGCAUGUCACCAGCCGUGGAAGCCGAAAGACAGCGGCCUGCCGCAAAGCAGCCUACCCUCCCAACGAGAGGCAUGGAGCAGAUACAAACAAUUAAUAGUUUUGCCGCCCUGGAGCCUGAUUUUCCUGCACCUUCGUCGCUGGGGGUACCUGUGUCUGCGGUCGCUGUGCC
rnacentral:lncRNA from 1 species